rnacentral:other from 1 species
CACAGGACGCUAGUUGUGAACAAGGUGUGGAAGAGCCUAUUCAGCUACAUGAGAGUCCUCCGGCCCCUGAAUGCGGCUAAUCCUAACCACGGAGCAGGCGAUCGCAAACCAGCAAUUAGCCUGUCGUAACGCGAAAGUCUGUGGCGGAACCGACUACUUUGGGUGACCGUGUUUCUCUUAUUUUUAUUCAUGGCUGCUUAUGGUGACAAUCAUAGAUUGUUAUCAUAAAGCGAGUUGGAUUGGCCAUCCGGUA